rnacentral:rRNA from 1 species
UACGUAGGAGACGAGCGUUGUCCGGAAUUACUGGGCGUAAAGAGCGUGUAGGCGGCCAGGUAGGUCCGUUGUGAAAACUCGAGGCUCAACCUCGAGACGUCGGCGGAAACCCUCUGGCUAGAGUCCGGAAGAGGCGAGUGGAAUUCCUGGUGUAGCGGUGAAAUGCGCAGAUAUCAGGAGGAACACCAAUGGCGAAGGCAGCUCGCUGGGACGUGACUGACGCUGAGACGCGAAAGCGUGGGGAGCAAACAGG